rnacentral:misc_RNA from 1 species
GAUGAAGAACGCAGUGAAACGCGAAAGGUAAUGCGAAUUGCAGAAUCAGUGAGUCAUCGAAUCUUUGAACGCACAUUGCGCCCCUUGGUAUUCCGAGGGGCAUGCCUGUUCGAGCGUCAUUAUAACCCCUCAAGCUCAGCUUGGUGUUGGGGCCUGCUGCACUGGCAGCCCUUAAAAUCAGUGGCGGCGCCAUCUGGCUCUAAGCGUAGUAAUUCUUCUCGCUAUGGAGUCCUGGUGGAUGCUUGCCAUCAACCCCCAAUUUUUCUAUGGUUGACCUCGGAUCAGGUAGGGAUACCCGCUGAACUUAAGCAUAUCAAUAAGCGGAGGA